rnacentral:sRNA from 1 species
UCUUCGGUCAAGGGUAUAGGACUAGCUGCACUUCCUUGCUAGAACCUCCAAACAAGCUCAAGAACAGCUGAAACAGGAAAUAAGGGAAUACCAGU